rnacentral:rRNA from 1 species
AGGGAAUCUUCCGCAAUGGACGCAAGUCUGACGGAGCAACGCCGCGUGAGCGAAGAAGGCCUUCGGGUCGUAAAGCUCUGUUGUCAGGGAAGAACAAGUACCGGAGUAACUGCCGGUACCUUGACGGUACCUGACCAGAAAGCCCCGGCUAACUACGUGCCAGCAGCCGCGGUAAUACGUAGGGGGCGAGCGUUGUCCGGAAUCAUUGGGCGUAAAGCGCGCGCAGGCGGUCCCUUAAGUCUGAUGUGAAAUCUUGCGGCUCAACCGCAAGGGGUCAUUGGAAACUGGGGGACUUGAGUGCAGGAGAGGGAAGCGGAAUUCCAUGUGUAGCGGUGAAAUGCGUAGAGAUAUGGAGGAACACCAGUGGCGAAGGCGGCUUCCUGGCCUGUAACUGACGCUCAGGCGCGAAAGCGUGGGGAGCAAAC